rnacentral:rRNA from 1 species
GGAGGGUGCAAGCGUUGUUCGGAAUUAUUGGGCGUAAAGAGCGUGUAGGCGGUCCGGUAAGUCAGAUGUGAAAGCCCUGGGCUCAACCCAGGAAGUGCAUUUGAAACUACCAGACUUGAGUACGGGAGAGGAGGGGGAAUUCCCGGUGUAGAGGUGAAAUUCGUAGAUAUCGGGAGGAAUACCAGUGGCGAAGGCGCCCCUCUGGACCGAUACUGACGCUGAGACGCGAAAGCGUGGGGAGCAAACAGGAUUAGAUACCCUGGUAGUCCACGCCGUAAACGAUGAGCACUAGGUGUAGCGGGUAUUGACCCCCUGCUGCGCCGUAGCUAACGCAUUAAGUGCUCCGCCUGGGGACUACGGUCGCAAGACUA